CAAAACAUAUAUUAAACGAAAGAAAAAAGUACAAAGAAGAGGGGGGACAAAAACCAAAACCCUCCAUAAAAGCAAAAGAAAACUAAAACAUAAAGAAAGCUAAAAAAGCAAACUAAUGAGGCGAACGGCCGGAAGCACCCACCUUGAACCUCUGCCCGCCUCAGGUUGCUUCUUCUUGAGUCUUCUUGAGUUUCUUCUUUCUAGGGACCACCAAUUGAAAUGGUUGACUCGCGUUUUCGUCCAAAUCAACAAUUUCAUCGUUCCGAACCAUGUUAGCCACACUCGUCACCCUUCUUUCAGUCACAUGACCCUAACUUUACCAUUGCUCGAAGGCUCACCCUUGAACUUUUACAAUUACAUAAUGAAAUUUAUGAUUCAUUUUUUCCCCUUAAUUGAAGCAUUAAAAUUAUUAUGCACGACAAUUUCAAUAUUAUUAUUAAAU
rnacentral:lncRNA from 1 species